GAUGAACGCUGGCGGCGUGCUUAACACAUGCAAGUCGAACGAAGCACUUUAUUUGAUUUCCUUCGGGACUGAUUAUUUUGUGACUGAGUGGCGGACGGGUGAGUAACGCGUGGGUAACCUGCCUUGUACAGGGGGAUAACAGUUGGAAACGGCUGCUAAUACCGCAUAAGCGCACAGCAUCGCAUGAUGCAGUGUGAAAAACUCCGGUGGUAUAAGAUGGACCCGCGUUGGAUUAGCUAGUUGGUGAGGUAACGGCCCACCAAGGCGACGAUCCAUAGCCGACCUGAGAGGGUGGCCGGCCACAUUGGUACUGAGACACGGCCCAAACUCCUACGGGAGGCAGCAGUGGGGAAUAUUGCACAAUGGGCGAAAGCCUGAUGCAGCGACGCCGCGUGAGCGAAGAAGUAUUUCGGUAUGUAAAGCUCUAUCAGCAGGGAAGAUAAUGACGGUACCUGACUAAGAAGCACCGGCUAAAUACGUG
rnacentral:rRNA from 1 species